rnacentral:rRNA from 1 species
UACGAAGGGGGCUAGCGUUGCUCGGAUUGACUGGGCGUAAAGGGCGCGUAGGCGGUUCGUACAGUCAGACGUGAAAUUCCUGGGCUCAACCUGGGGGCUGCGCUUAAUACAGCCAGACUAGAGUGUGAAAGAGGGUCGUGGAAUUCCCAGUGUAGAGGUGAAAUUCGUAGAUAUUGGGAAGAACACCGGUGGCGAAGGCGGGUCUCUGGGCCGUAACUGACGCUGAGGAGCGAAAGCAUGGGGAGCGAACAGG